CGAUAUCUGGAGGAGAAACACAUAUACCAACAAUCAGGCAGUCCUACCCUUCAAUUCAAUCUCAAUUAAAGUUGAAAUUAUGCAUUAGGGAACAUGGUGUUUGCCAGUCCAGAGGGUCAAUUGACCAGUUGCUGCCCCCAUGGUGGUCAAUUGACCAGUUGGUGCAUGGUGUGUGCCACAGUUCUGCAUGAGUGCCUCCCCGGUUUUAGAAGUUAUCUGUUCUGGAUUGCCAGGUUGGCAUUAAUCAGGGUCUGAGUCAGUGAGAUCUACACACACUGGGAUGACCGACGCCAUUUCUCAGCAACCUGGAAGGAUACUUGGGCCCAGACUAUUUGCUUGUUUUUAGU